UCCUUUGUAGCUCAGUCAGUAAAGAAUCUGCCUGCAACGCAGGAGACCCAGGUUCAAUCCCUGGGUCGGGAA
rnacentral:tRNA from 1 species